GGAUGGACCCGCGUCUGAUUAGCUAGUUGGUAAGGUAACGGCUUACCAAGGCGACGAUCAGUAGCCGACCUGAGAGGGUGAUCGGCCGCAUUGGGACUGAGACACGGCCCAGACUCCUACGGGAGGCAGCAGUGGGGAAUAUUGCACAAUGGGGGAAACCCUGAUGCAGCAACGCCGCGUGAGUGAUGACGGCCUUCGGGUUGUAAAGCUCUGUCUUUGGGGACGAUAAUGACGGUACCCAAGGAGGAAGCCACGGCUAACUAC
rnacentral:rRNA from 1 species